CAGUGUCACCCCAGUGUCACCAGUGUCACCAGUGUCACCCCAGUGUCACCAGUGUCACCAGUGUCACCCCAGUGUCACCAGUGUCACCAGUGUCACCAGGGGACACGGCGGUGACACAGGGCACGUGACGUGCCCGCGGGGGUGGCGCCGGAGACGCGCGGCAGCGCCCGUCACCGUGGGCACAGCGUGACAGCAGUGCCAGCGCCCUGCUGGGGACACGGGGCACGUGGCAGCACCCCAGUGCCAGCGGCGUGGUGGCAUGGGUGACACUGGACGUGUGACAGCAGCUGGUGCCAUCGCUGGUGACAUUGGUGACACGGGACGUGUGACAGCAGCCGGUGGCACUGCCGUGGUGACAUUGGUGACACAGGGGACACGUGGCACCCCCAGUGUCCCCUCCCCCAAUAAACGGCUGGCACUGCCCGCGGGGUGUCCCCAGGGUGUCCCCAGGGGUGGCACAGCUGUCCCUUGGUGCCACCCGGGGCUCCCUCAGUGUCCCCUGGUGCCACCCCCGCGGGCGUCCUGUGUCCCUCGAUGUCACCUGAGUGCUGCGGGUGUCCUUUGGUGCCACCCCCAGAGG
rnacentral:lncRNA from 12 species